GUUGAUAAGGUUAAGUGAAUAAGGGCGCACGGUGGAUGCCUUGGCACUAGGAGCCGAUGAAGGACGGGACUAACACCGAUAUGCUUUGGGGAGCUGUAAGUAAGCUAUGAUCCAGAGAUUUCCGAAUGGGGGAACCCAAUAUCUUUUAUAGGAUAUUACUUUUCAGUGAAUACAUAGCUGAUUAGAGGUAGACGCAGAGAACUGAAACAUCUUAGUACCUGCAGGAAGAGAAAGAAAAUUCGAUUCCCUGAGUAGCGGCGAGCGAAACGGGAAGAGCCCAAACCAACAAGCUUGCUUGUUGGGGUUGUAGGACUCCAAUAUGGUAGUCUGUUAGUAUAGUUGAAGGAUUUGGAAAAUUCCGCUAAAGAGGGUGAAAGCCCCGUAGACGAAAUGCUAACAACACCUAGGAGGAUCCUGAGUACGGCGGAACACGAGAAAUUCCGUCGGAAUCCGCGGGGACCAUCCCGCAAGGCUAAAUACUCCCUAGUGACCGAUAGUGAACCAGUACCGUGAGGGAAAGGUGAAAAGCACCCCGGAAGGGGAGUGAAAUAGAUCCUGAAACCGUGUGCCUACAACAAGUCAAAGCUCGUUAAUGAGUGAUGGCGUGCCUUUUGUAGAAUGAACCGGCGAGUUACGAUUGCAUGCGAGGUUAAGUCGAAGAGACGGAGCCGCAGCGAAAGCGAGUCUGAAUAGGGCGAAUGAGUAUGUAGUCGUAGACCCGAAACCAUGUGAUCUACCCAUGUCCAGGUUGAAGGUGCGGUAAAACGCACUGGAGGACCGAACCCACGUACGUUGAAAAGUGCGGGGAUGAGGUGUGGGUAGCGGAGAAAUUCCAAACGAACUUGGAGAUAGCUGGUUCUCUCCGAAAUAGCUUUAGGGCUAGCCUCGGAAUUGAGAAUGAUGGAGGUAGAGCACUGUUUGGACUAGGGGCCCAUCUCGGGUUACCGAAUUCAGAUAAACUCCGAAUGCCAUUCAUUUAUAUCCGGGAGUCAGACUGCGAGUGAUAAGAUCCGUAGUCGAAAGGGAAACAGCCCAGACCACCAGCUAAGGUCCCAAAAUAUAUGUUAAGUGGAAAAGGAUGUGGGGUUGCACAGACAACUAGGAUGUUGGCUUAGAAGCAGCCACCAUUUAAAGAGUGCGUAAUAGCUCACUAGUCGAGUGACCCUGCGCCGAAAAUGUACCGGGGCUAAACAUAUUACCGAAGCUGUGGACUACACCAUUAGGUGUAGUGGUAGGAGAGCGUUCUAAGGGCGUUGAAGGUCGAUCGUGAGGACGGCUGGAGCGCUUAGAAGUGAGAAUGCCGGUAUGAGUAGCGAAAGACAGGUGAGAAUCCUGUCCACCGUAUGACUAAGGUUUCCUGGGGAAGGCUCGUCCGCCCAGGGUUAGUCGGGACCUAAGCCGAGGCCGAUAGGCGUAGGCGAUGGACAACAGGUUGAUAUUCCUGUACCAGUUGUUUUUGUUUGAGCAAUGGAGGGACGCAGUAGGCUAAGGAAUGCAUGCGAUUGGAAGUGCAUGUCCAAGCAAUGAGUCUUGAGUAGAGUUAAAUGCUUUACUCUCUAAGGACAAGUUGUGACGGGGAGCGAAAUAAUAGUAGCGAAGUUCCUGAUGUCACACUGCCAAGAAAAGCUUCUAGUGAGAAAACAACUGCCCGUACCGUAAACCGACACAGGUAGUCGAGGAGAGUAUCCUAAGGUGAGCGAGCGAACUCUCGUUAAGGAACUC
rnacentral:rRNA from 1 species